UAUGAAGAACGUAGCGAACUGCGAUAAGUAAUGUGAAUUGCAGAAUUCAGUGAAUCAUCGAGUCUUUGAACGCACAUUGCGCCCCCUGGCAUUCCGGGGGGCAUGCCUGUCCGAGCGUCAUUGCUGCCCUUCAAGCCCGGCUUGUGUGUUGGGUCGUCGUCCCCCCCGGGGGACGGGCCCGAAAGGCAGCGGCGGCACCGCGUCCGGUCCUCGAGCGUAUGGGGCUUUGUCACCCGCUCGAUUAGGGCCGGCCGGGCGCCAGCCGGCGUCUCCAACCUUCUAUUUUACCAGGUUGACCUCGGAUCAGGUAGGGAUACCCGCUGAACUUAAGCAUAUCAAUAAGCGGAGGA
rnacentral:misc_RNA from 1 species